ensembl:lncRNA
UAAAUAUUCAAAAAUAUAAUUAAUUAUUCUGUUAAAUCCUGUGCCAUCCCAGCUGCUCCCUGCACAGCUGCCCUGGGGUCAUUCCCUGUGUUCAUUCCCUGGUUUGGGGCAUAAUUCCCCGUUCCCAUUUCCACUCCCCAUUGCCCUGUUCCCCCUUCCCCAUUUUCCCAUUCCCAUUCCCAAUUUCCCAUUCCCAUUUUUCUCCCUCUGUUCCCGUUGCAGGAACCCCUCUCUGAAGCAGCAGCUCUUUUCUCCAUUCCCAUUUCCCCAUUCCCAUUUCCCCAUCCCCAUUCCCAUUUCCCCAUCCCCAUUCCCAUUUCCCCAUCCCCAUUUCCCCAUCCCCAUUCCCAUUUUUCCUUUCCCAUCCCCAUUUCCCCAUCCCCAUUUCCCCAUCCCCAUUCCCAGUUUCCCAUUCCCAAUUUCCCAUUCCCAUUCUCUAUUCCCAUUCCAGGAACCCAUCCCUGAAGCAGCAGCUCUUCUCCCCCAUUCCCCAUCCCCAUUCCCAUUUCCCCAUUCCCAUUCCCAUUUUCCCAUUCCCAUUCCUAUUUUCCCAUUCCCAUUCCCAUUUCCCCAUUCCCAUUUCCAUUUCCCCAUCCCCUUUCCCAAUUUCCCAUUCCCAUUUUUCUCGCUCUAUUCCCAUUGCAGGAACCCCUCUCUGAAGCAGCAGCUCUUCUCCCCCAUUCCCAUUUCCCCAUUCCCAUCCCCAUUCCCAAUUUCCCAUUCCCAUUUCCCCAUCCCCAUUCCCAAUUUCCCAUUCCCAUUUUUCUCCCUCUGUUCCCGUUUCAGGAACCCCUCUCUGAAGCAGCAGCUCUUUUCUCCCAUUUCCGCAUUCCCAAUUUCCCAUUCCCAUUUCCCCAUUCCCAUCCCCAUUUCCCCAUUCCCCAUUCCCAAUUUCCCAUUCCCAUUUUUCCUUUCCCAUCCCCAUUUCCCCAUUCCCAUUUUUCCUUUCCCAUUCCCAUUUUUCUCCCUGUGUUCCCAUUGCAGGAACCCCUCUCUGAAGCAGCAGCUCUUCUCCCCCAUUCCCCAUUCCCAUUCCCAUCCCCAUUCCCAUUCCCAUUUCCCCAUUCCCAGUUUCCCAUUCCCAUUCUCUGUUCCCAUUCCAGGAACCCAUCCCUGAAGCAGCAGCUCUUUUCCCCAUUCCCAUUUCCCCAUUCCCAUUUCCAUCCCCAUUCCCAUUCCCAAUUCCCCAUUCCCAUUCCCAAUUCCCCAUUCCCAUUCCCAAUUCCCAUUCCCAUUUCCCAUUCCCAUUCCCAUUUUUUCUCACUCUAUUCCCAUUUCCCAUUUCAGGAACCCCUCUCUGAAGCAGCAGCUCUUUUCCCCAUUCCCCAUUCCCAUUCCCAAUUUUUCUCUAUUCCCGUUGCAGGAACCCCUCUCUGAAGCAGCAGCUCUUUUCCCCAUUCCCAUCCCCAUUUUCCCAUUCCCAUUCCCAUUUUUUCUCACUCUGUUCCCAUUUCCCAUUUCAGGAACCCCUCUCUGAAGCAGCAGCUCUUCUCGUACGCCAUCCUGGGCUUUGCGCUGUCCGAGGCCAUGGGGCUCUUCUGUCUGAUGGUGGCAUUCCUGAUCCUGUUCGCCAUGUGACACCCCUGGGGACAGCCCUGCUGCUGCUGCUGCUCUCCUGCCAGUAAACCACCGAUUUCUCUACGGAAUUCCCUCUUUUGGCCUUUUUGUAUCUUUAUUUUUCAUCUUCCGGGGGAGAUCCGGGGUGGAAAAUCCCAGCUGUGGGGUCAGAUCUGUAAAAAAUCCACCCAAAUCUGGGCCUUGGGAAAACAGAGGUUGGGGUUGGGUGCUGGGAUGGAAUUCCCAGAGAAACCCAUGGAUUUCUCUACAGAAUUCGUUGUUUUGGGGUUUUUUUGCCUUUAUUUUUCACCUUCUGGGGGAAAUUCAGGGGUGCGAAAUCCCAGCUGUGGGGUCAGAUCUGUAAAAAAUCCACCCAAAUCUGGGUCCUGAGAAAGCAGAGGUUGGGGUUGGGUGUUGGGAUGGAAUUCCCAGAGGAACCCACGGAUUUCUCUACAGAAUUCUCUGUUUUGGGCCUUUUUUAAUCUUUAUUUUUCAUCUUUCGAGGGUGAUUCGGGGUGGAAAAUCCCAGAUGUGGGGUGGGAGUGGGAAGGUGGAGUCAA